CCUACGGGAGGCAGCAGUGGGGAAUCUUGCGCAAUGGGCGAAAGCCUGACGCAGCCAUGCCGCGUGAAUGAUGAAGGUCUUAGGAUUGUAAAAUUCUUUCACCGAGGACGAUAAUGACGGUACUCGGAGAAGAAGCCCCGGCUAACUUCGUGCCAGCAGCCGCGGUAAUACGAAGGGGGCUAGCGUUGCUCGGAAUUACUGGGCGUAAAGGGAGCGUAGGCGGAUAGUUUAGUCAGAGGUGAAAGCCCAGGGCUCAACCUUGGAAUUGCCUUUGAUACUGGCUAUCUUGAGUACGGAAGAGGUAUGUGGAACUCCGAGUGUAGAGGUGAAAUUCGUAGAUAUUCGGAAGAACACCAGUGGCGAAGGCGACAUACUGGUCCGUUACUGACGCUGAGGCUCGAAAGCGUGGGGAGCAAACAGGAUUAGAUACCCUGGUAGUCCACGCUGUAAACGAUGAGUGCUAGUUGUCGGCAUGCAUGCAUGUCGGUGACGCGAGCUACGACAUAAGACGACGUCCGCCGUCGGGGAGGUACGGUCGCGAAGUAAGUUAAACGUUACGAAAGUAAGUUAGUUACGGACGUUGAGACGNGCCGACGGACGACGACGAGGGAGGAGG
rnacentral:rRNA from 1 species